rnacentral:lncRNA from 1 species
GCCACACCGACCAUUUAAAGCGAUUCCAACUCCUGUGAAGCCUGGCUGGAAAGGCGCGGCUUCCAUCCCGGCAGCCUGGAGGAGGAUCGAGCAGGGGCUGUGCCUGGGCUUGCCUGGACUUGUUCAGAGCAGGGCUGCUCCCCUCGGUAAUUGCACAGAUUGGGGGCUUUGGGAGACUUUGCUAGAACCUGGAAGCCACGGCCGGGGGCUACUGGGCCCCGGGGUCUGCGCACCUGCUCGCCGUGGAGCUCAGGAGUGUGUCCAGGCAAUUAACCACUGAUAGACGCCAACGUCUGCAACACAGCAGACUCCACCCAUCUGUAGUCUCUGUGAAGGGAUCCUGCCUCAGCUUCCAAAGACUGCCUGG